GGGCUGCUGGCUCAAAGGGAGAGCAUCCGGUUUGCACCCGGAAGGUUGUCGGUUCGAGUCCGACGCGGUCCA
rnacentral:tRNA from 1 species